GGGGAUUUAGCUCAGUGGUACAGCGCCUGGCUGGCAAGCAGGAGGUCCUGAGUUCAAUUUCCAGUACCCUCU
rnacentral:tRNA from 1 species